rnacentral:rRNA from 1 species
CCGGCACGGGUGAGUAACACGUAUCCAACCUGCCGUCUACUCUUGGACAGCCUUCUGAAAGGAAGAUUAAUACAAGAUGGCAUCAUGAGUCCACAUGUUCACAUGAUUAAAGGUAUUCCGGUAGACGAUGGGGAUGCGUUCCAUUAGAUAGUAGGCGGGGUAACGGCCCACCUAGUCUUCGAUGGGUAGGGGUUCUGAGAGGAAGGUCCCCCACAUUGGAACUGAGACACGGUCCAA